AUUGAACGCUGGCGGAAUGCUUUACACAUGCAAGUCGAGCGGCAGCGCGGCCUUCGGGCUGGCGGCGAGCGGCGAACGGGUGAGUAAUGCAUCGGAACAUGCCCAGUCGUGGGGGAUAACACUUCGAAAGAAGUGCUAAUACCGCAUACGUCCUGAGGGGGAAAGCGGGGGAUCGCAAGACCUCGCGCGAUUGGAGUGGCCGAUGUCAGAUUAGCUAGUUGGUGGGGUAAAGGCCUACCAAGGCGACGAUCUGUAGCUGGUCUGAGAGGAUGAUCAGCCACACUGGGACUGAGACACGGCCCAGACUCCUACGGGAGGCAGCAGUGGGGAAUUUUGGACAAUGGGGGCAACCCUGAUCCAGCCAUUCCGCGUGAGUGAAGAAGGCCUUCGGGUUGUAAAGCCCUUUCGGCAGGAACGAAACGGUGGGCUCUAACAUAGUCCGCUAAUGACGGUACCUGAAGAAGAAGCACCGGCUAACUACGUG
rnacentral:rRNA from 1 species